GUAGUCCACGCCCUAAACAAUGUGCACUAGAUCGCGGGAGGUAUUGACGCCUUUCUCGGUCGAAGUAAAAACGUUGAGUGCACCGCCUGGGGAGUACGGUCGCAAGGCUAAAACUCAAAGGAAUUGACGGGGGCUCACACAAGCGGUGGAGCAUGUGGCUCAAUUCGAAGCAACGCGAAGAACCUUAUCCUAGGUUUGACAUGCAUGGAUUAGUCCGUGGAAACAUGGAUGACACUCUCGUAGUGGAACAUGCACAGGUGCUGCAUGGCUGUCGUCAGCUCGUGCUGUGAAGUGUCGGGUUAAGUCCCUUAACGAGCGAAACCCCUAUUACUAGUUGCCAACGCGUUAUGGCGGGGACUCUAGUGAGACUGCCGGUGUUAAACCGGA
rnacentral:rRNA from 1 species